UAGUUCAGCUGUCUGUGAAUGAGG
rnacentral:miRNA from 1 species